UAAGGACGAGUCUGCGGCCUAUCAGGUAGUAGGUGGGGUAAAGGCCCCACAUAGCCUAUGACGGGUACGGGCACUGAGAGGUGUAGCCCGGAGAUGGGUUCUGAGACAUGAACCCAGGCCCUACGGGGCGCAGCAGGCGCGAAACCUUCGCAAUGCGCGCAAGCGCGACGAGGGGAACUCGAGUGCCAUUGCCAUUUUUGGUGAUGGCUUUUCUUGACCCUAAAAAGAUCAGGGAAUAAAAGCUGGGUAAGACGGGUGCCAGCCGCCGCGGUAAUACCCGCAGCUCGAGUGGUGGCCACUAUUAUUGAGCCUAAAGCGUCCGUAGCCGGUCUUGUAAAUCUCUGGGUAAAUCCUGCCGCUUAACGGUGGGAAUGCUGGAGAGACUGCAAGACUGGGGAUCGGGUGAGGUUGAAGGUACUUCUGGGGUAGGGGUAAAAUCCUGUAAUCCUGGAAGGACGACCGGUGGCGAAGGCGUUCAACUAGAACGGAUCCGACGGUGAGGAACGAUGGCUAGGGGAGCAAACCGGAUUAGAUACCCGGGUAGUCCUAGCUGUAAACACUGCCCACUUGGUGUUGCUUCUCCGAUUAAGGGGGAGCAGUGCCGGAGCGAAGGUGUUAAGUGGGCCGCUUGGGGAGUAUGGUCGCAAGGCUGAAACUUAAAGGAAUUGGCGGGAGAGCACCGCAACGGGAGGAGCGUGCGGUUUAAUUGGAUUCAACGCCGG
rnacentral:rRNA from 1 species